rnacentral:lncRNA from 1 species
CACCUCUUAUAUAUCCAACAAUACCUUUUAAUAUGGGACUUUGCAUUAAAGAAUGGGCUUUGGCCAACAGUUUGUACAAAAACACAAAGCCUCCAAUAAAAAAGAAACUAGGCCUACUGCAACUAACAGAAACUUUUCUUAACCUAACCCAAAACUUAAAUAAACUUUCCUAAAACCCACCAGGCCCCAUUUCGGUACAACCAAUGCCCAACAUUCAACCUGAGAAAAAUCUCUUCCUCUCCCAAGAUUUUCUCAUUGAUGAUCCUAUCCCUUUUCCAAUUACCAUUUCCAGAUCUUUCUUUCCGUCCUUUCGCUGCCUAAUGACUCUCAUUUUCCUUUUGUCAGACACGAUUUCCAAAUCUCUCUUCUCCUCCCAUCGCUGUCUGGUGUCUCGCAUCCUCCUCCAACACCAUUACCUCCUUUCUUGGUAGUCGAUAAUCCAGGUCGGUACUUCUUAAACUCGUAACUGCUUCUUUUGUAAGUUCAUGUGCUACCCCAUUCCCAAAUCUAAACACUUUCUUGAACUGACAUUCUUCAAAUACUCUGCUUAAUGUUUUUAUGUCAUGUAUAUAUAAGCAUAAAAUUAUUGAUCCUCAUUUGCUGUUUGGACCCGUCUGAUAAUACUGAGAGCAUCCUCUUCAAUUGCUACCCUUCAGAGCCCCAUUUCUACCCCUAGUUGUACUACCUGCAAGCAGGCUAUUGCAUCCGCCACAAAGGGUGUAGGUAUUCGAUCGUUGACCGUCAUUUUGACACCUAAAAUUUCUCCUUUCGCGUUUCUACAAAUUAUGCCCGUACCUGAUUUUUUCCUCUGUUUAUCACAUGCCCCAUCGGAAUUUAUUUUGGCCAUAAGUUGGUCCGGCAGUUUCUAGCGUUCAUCAUCACAUCUCUAUCCAGGUACGCUAUUAUUUACUGUCUUCCAUUCGCUUAUGUAUUUAUUAAUAAACCGCACUGUUUUUGUCACUGACCUUUGGAUUCCUUCGUGUGAAACUUUGUUUCGUCCUAUCCAGACCGCCCAUAUGCUUCCAAAAAGGAGUUGUAUUUGCGAGGCUGUCGUUUUGGUGAGUUGCUUCCCAAUCCAUGUCUAGAGGUUCUCAUUUGGUUCUUCGUUAGACGCCUUAAACCCUAACUCUGACCAUCUCUUUUACUGCAGGACAAUCUCGAAUAGCAUGUUCCAGAGUGUCUGUGCCAUCCCUACACCUGAGGCAUAAAGCCGAAUUACGGACUCUUCUGUAAUGUAGAUUAUCAAACGUAGGAAUAUAGUUAUUAUAGAUUCUCCGGUUCGUAAUUUUAAUUUUGCUAGGCAAAUCUGCCUGCCAUAGAUUGUUGUAUUACUCUUUGCUUUGUAUCUUUGCUAUUGUCUAUUUCUGGGUUUGUACUCCCCCUUAGUAGCCUCUUGUAUCCGCUUCUGACUCUGUACUCCCCCGUUGGUUCUCCACUCCAAACUCUAUUAUCUUCUCGCGGAUGCUUUGCUAGAGGGAUGUUCAGUAUUGCAUCUGCCUCAACGUUAGUGAACAAUCUGGUAAUAGUUUCUUCCUUCCAUUGUCCUGAGUUUGAGUCAAUUAAAUCAGCCACUUUAUUCACACUAUUGUUCCUUACUGACUCCUGUAUUCUUUUCUUUUCCAAUCCAGGGACCCAAGCAUCCUGCCAAAUUGAAAUGCAAUUACCAUUACCAACUCCCCAAGUCAUCCCAUCCUGCAGCACCUUUUUCGUUACCCAUAUACUUCUCCAAGUAUACGAAGGGUAAUUUCCUAACUCUGCCCGCAUGAAAUCGGUGUUUGGAUAAUAUUUUGCCUUCAAGGUCUUUGCUAAUAAUGAAUAUGGGAAUUCCAUUAAUCAACAACCCUGUUUUGCAAGAAGGGCCACGUUCUUCGGAAACCCAUCCUACCAUCCUCCUUUAAUCUGCAUGACUUAUUCCAACUGCACCAAUGUAUUCUCUUCUUACCCUUCCGUUUUUGCCACCAAAAAUCUACUAAUUAUCUGUUCCAUUUCUCUACAUAAUGAAUUUGGUAACAAGAAACACGACAUAGCAUAGGUUGGAGUUGAUUGCAAUACACAUUUUAUAAAGACCUUUUUUCCACCUUGCGAUACGGUUUUAACGCACCAAUUAUUCACACGUUCUGCCAUUUUGUCUUUUAGGCCCAGAAAACUUUUCCUACUUUGUCUUCCUACAACAUUUGGCAAACCCAAGUAUUUUUCUGGAUCCUCCAAACAUCUUACUGUCAACACCUGCAAGAUCAAGUCUUUUCCCCGCCUCGAGCUGUUAGAACUAAAAAAAUAAAGUUGGUUUAUCUAAAUUAACUUUCUGCCCUGACAUGCUUUCAUAUUUUUCCAGAAUACCUUUUGCUUGCCUUCAUGAUACGAGCCAAGUAGGUGACACUUAAUGGGUUAUUUUUCCUAGUGGUCUAAUCACUCGAAGCAAGGCACGACAAUUAAAAUCAAAGAUGAAUGCUUUUGUUCAAGACUUUGUUGCUACAAGUUUAAUUCAUCAUGUUCGUGACGUUGACAAAUACGGGAAUGCAAUUCACUGGGCCAAUCUUGGAAUAGUGAAAGCCCAUAAAUUGGUGGAUUAAUCUUUUAUGUAUCUUAUUAUUAUUAUUAUUUACUUAAUUCUUAUUGGUUGGGACACAUCACUUAUGAGUUUUAAGUAAUUUUAUUGGUUAGGUUAUUAUUUAUUUAUUUAUUUUCUUAGAUAAUUUUAAAGAGUUUUAUUAAGGUUCAAUUACUCUUGUAUUUUGCCUAUAAAUAGGCUUGCUUUCUACACAUUGAGGGGUGGAAUAAAAAGAGAGUAUUUGUUUUCUUCCAAAUUUGUGUGAGGCAAAUUUUUGAGAGUAGAGUGAUUAUUCUCUUUCUAUUUAGUUUGGAGUUUGUUACUUUCGAGAGUAUUUCGGAGUUACAAUUAUUCAAAUUUUUUUCCCGUUCAUCGGUGUUUCUAGAGGUUCUUCUUCUAGGGGUUUUGUAGGGAGCCACUCAAUCAUUGGCGUUUUUGGUUACAAGUUAACCAAGGGUUCCAUAGGGCAAAUCUAUCCUUUAUUAUUAUUAUUAUUAUUUAACUAAUUUUGUUUAUUCUCGUUUUAUUUCUAAUUUGUGUUUCUCUUGUGUCUAGAUCCGGGAUUCCGCAUCAGUUGGUAUCAAUUUCAGGCCAUUCGGUGUUAUUUUUGAAGCUAAAAUCAUAUCCAAAAUGAGUCAAAAUACUAAAAACACUUCUCAUCG